UACGGGGGGAGCAAGCGUUGUUCGGAUUUACUGGGCGUAAAGGGCGCGUAGGCGGUCAGCACAAGUCAAUUGUGAAAUCUCCGAGCUUAACUCGGAAAGGUCAACUGAAACUGUGCGACUAGAGUGCGGAAGGGGCAACUGGAAUUCUUGGUGUAGCGGUGAAAUGCGUAGAUAUCAAGAGGAACACCGGUGGCGAAGGCGGGUCUCUGGGCAAUUCCUGACGCUGAGGCGCGAAAGCGUGGGGAGCAAACGGG
rnacentral:rRNA from 1 species